rnacentral:rRNA from 1 species
UACGUAGGGUGCAAGCGUUGUCCGGAAUUAUUGGGCGUAAAGAGCUCGUAGGCGGUCUGUCGCGUCUGCUGUGAAAACUCGGGGCUUAACCCCGGGUCUGCAGUCGAUACGAGCAAACUAGAGUGUUGCAGGGGAGACUGGAAUUCCUGGUGUAGCGGUGAAAUGCGCAGAUAUCAGGAGGAACACCGGUGGCGAAGGCGGGUCUCUGGGCAACAACUGACGCUGAGGAGCGAAAGCCAGGGGAGCAAACGGG